GAAGAUAGUUCCAAACUUUAUUCAUUGUAGGCAAUUGGGAUUGCUAAUAUUAUCAUGUAUUGAUUGUUGAAGCUCUAUUUCUUCCUAGAUGGAUACACAGGGAUGCUUUGUUCAUCCCUGAAGAAGUUACCAGGAUCAACUAAGGUCUUCACUUGAGCAAGUCUCCUGAAGUUAUUCUUGAAGUAACUGAAACCCCAAAUGCUUGCUUGUGCAUAGCUUGUAUUAGCAUCCUUGUUCCUCCCCAAGUCAAGAUCCUUGUAGUUCAAAUAGGCAGCUCUUGGGGACUUUGAAACAUAUGGUGCCAUGUAGGAAUACAGCUUUCUCAUCAUGCCAAUAUGUUUCUCAGUUUCCUUCUCAUCAUCCCAAGUGACCAUAUACUGGAUUUUGAAUAGAUUUCCACUUCUGUGUGGGAAAGGAAUUUCUGAAUUGGAAAUCUCACUCAUUUUUCCGCCAUAAGGUGUCAAUAUGAGGUAAGCCCCUACUUCAAUUAGGUUUUGCCAUAAACCUUCCAAGCCAGCUUCUGAAAUAGGUUCAUUGACAUAGUCUGAUUUUGCUUUGAAGAAGCUCUUAGAUUGUUGAGUCCUAUUGAGCAAAGCUUCUGAUUCGUUUAUUGAGAUGCUAGCAAAGUAAAGAACAGACUCGAUCCAACUCAUUUCAGUGCAAUCGCUGCGGGCUACACUUAACUCUGGAAAAUUGUCCUGCAUCAAAAGGAGAAGUUUCUCCACCGGCCCAAGAAACAAUGAACGGAAUUCAAUAACAAUAGUUUUGCCACCAUUUGUGCCAGCUUUAUCUCCAACACCUAUGACUGUAUCUAGGAAAAGGUCUUCAUGAAACUUGUCUGCAAUGUUUUGCCAUUUAGAAAGAAGUUUGGUUGCACCUUGUUCUGUGGUCUUUGAAAUUGAGAAAACUGUUACAGAUGGAGGGACAGGAACCAACCUAAGUUUCCAUGCCACAAUAACUCCGAAGCUUGAACCUCCCCCUCCUCUAAUAGCCCAAAAGAGUUCUUCUCCCAUGGAUUUUCUGUCAAGAACUCUGCCAUUAACGUCGACAAUUUUAGCAUCAAGGACAUUGUCAGCUGCCAGACCAUACUUCCUGAACAAGGUACCAAAUCCACCUCCACUAAUAAGCCCCCCCACACCCACAGUAGGACAUGACCCUGCUGGAAAUCCAUAAGCCUUACUUUUUUCUGCAAUUCUGUAAUACAACUCUCCAAGAGUAGCACCGGAUUCAACCCAAGCACUCUCAUUUUCUAUGUCAACAUCAAUAGACCGAAGAUUGGAAAGAUCAAUGAUGACAAAAGGAGCUCUGGAUAUGUAAGAUUGGCCCUCGUAGUCAUGGCCCCCGCUUCGGAUUCUUAUCAGUAUGCCGUUUGUCUUGGAGCAAAUUACAGCUGCUUGAACAUGAGAGUCAUGAAAGGGAUAAAUGACAGCUUCUGGUUUUGAUAUUGAAGUGUUCAAGAAUCUGAGGUUUUGUAUGGAAGAUUGCACGACUGAGGCAUAAGCAGAACUGUUUUUGAUGAGAAUGAUUUUGCUACUUGAUUUGAGAUUCUGUAUGUGGGAGGUAAAACAUUGAAGAAAGCUUUCUGUAGCUGAAUUUGAAGUUAUGGACCAAACAGGGUUGAUAAAGAUGAAAAGUAUUGGAAGUAGUUUGAAUAUCUCCAUAUUCAUUUCCUCUGUGCAGUUUGAAGUGUGAAUUGCAUAGGCUAUUAGCUAUAUAUAUAAUAUAUCUACUAUGACGUGGAAAAGUAUGAGUCCAAAUUGGUACAGUAUUUCAGACAAAGUCAAUGCUCAAACUUUAUCCUUUCUUUUUCAGUUAAGGCAAACAAAUAACCUUUGCAAAUAAAAAAAAUGCGCUAGAGAAUUCGUCAGAGACUGAAAGCCUAGUUCUGUACAAGUUCAAAGUCUUCUCGAAAGUUAUAUUUUAGAGUUGAAGACGCCAAAGAUUUCAUUAAUCGCAGGUUGAAUCAUAUGAUCUAUGUCAUCGCUGUCUUUCUCAGUUGUAGUUUUUGGUCAUUAGUUUCGUUAAGUUCAAGAAAUCCUUAUUUGUUGAGCGGGGUUACCACAGUGAUUGUGACUUUUAGUUGAGCACAUAUAAAAUUGUACACAUUUAGUUGCAGUAUUACUUGUUUUAAAUAAAAAAAUAAAAAGUCGCAUUAUUAGUUGCCGUAGACGUAAUUGAAGACUUCUAGAAAAAUCAAUAGCUUACAAUGAAGAAGUUCCAUGGCGGUGGGAUAGCGUAGGUUAGACAAAUAUCCACAAACAUAAUUGAAGAUUGUGGAUGAUUAACAUUUGUGGCUGCGAAUAUUGGAGAGAAUAACAUUUGUGGCUGCGAAUAUUGGAGAGAUUGUCUAAGUCGGCAAACAAUGUCUAUAAGCAGACAAGCUACCCAAAUCUAAGGUAGAAGCUGGCAACCUAUAAUAAGCUAAUCAACUAAAGGUGAUGGGAGUUAACCAAGAGUAUUCCCAAUCAAGGCCAUCUCCAAUCAAGACCAUCUCCAAUCAUAGGCUCACCAAUCUAAGUGAAAUGCCAAAUAGCCCAAACUAAUUGACAGGAUCCGCCCUCGAAUUCUUCGAAAACUGGGACGAAUUCCGUCUUGUUACCGACAUCACCCCGAUGUCGGGGCCACUUACUUAAAAUCGAGACUCUCUACCAAAAUUUUGGCAGAGUCUCUCCUGUAAAUUGUACAAUCCCAACAAAAAUCAACCUGCAUAAUAUACAUAAUAUAAACCCAACCAGCAGUAUGCUUUCAACAUACAACCAUACACACAAAAUGGCCUCCGGUCUCAAGUAAGAACCUAACAUGGGCAAUAACAGAGCAUCUACUGAAUUUAGUUUACAAGAACAUCCAGUGAGUAAAAAGAAAUUACUCGAAGCCUAAUCUAUUGAUGUAAAUGGUUCGGCCUUCGAACACCGCUUGCAACCUUCCUGGAGUGACUACUGUCUGGGGGGCGCAAAACAGAAACAUGUGAGUGGACAAAAACAAAGUUUGAAUUUAAAACAACAUAAUAACCCCACCGUGUAAAAAUAAUGCUCAAAACAUGCAGGUUCGUAAUUCAUAUUUAAAAAUCAAGCACAUUCUUCUCUGAAACCCUUUAAAACCCAAAAUCAGUCAAUCUAUAAACUAAAUUCCCACAAUUAAUACUGUUCUUUCCAACCCACUACAUAUACUCUAAUUGCUUUACACUCACACCUAUAUAUAAAUAUAUAAUUAUAGAUAUGUCAUAAUCUUCUCACACUACCUAGGUACCGGGGAAACAAUCCAACCGGGGGAUUGUUUAACUAGCCCGUAGGAUUUUCAUUUGCUAUCCUGCGUCUAGGGAUGAGCGGUCCAACCGGGGGGUGAAACUCCAUAUCUCACACACCGGAACAUCCAACGCCAUGUGUAGCUCCAAUACUAAGUUCUAUGCGCGCAUACUACAUCAUCACACAUCGAAAAUUUCAACGCCAUGUGUAAUGAUCCCAAGCAAUACACAUAAUAUUCCCAUACACCAGAAAUUUCAACGCCACGUAUGGGAAGUGUCUCACACGCCGGAAAUUCCAACGCCACGUGUGAGACUAAUAACAACAUGUUCUUCCCACACGCCAGAAAUUCCAAUGCCAGGUGUGGGAAGCCUAGUAACUGGGGAUGAUACUUACAUAGUGUAAUCAUACAUCUUCUCUCAACAACCCCUCAUACUCAAAUCCUUCCACAAUCUCACCUCAACAACCCACAUACCCCACAUAUAGACAAUAUAUAUAGAAUUUCCCAAAAUUCAUACAAACAUCCUCUCAGUACUUAGAUAUGUCAAACCCACAAUAUAUUACCAAAGCGCUAUAUGAACAUCAAAUUCAACAUUUGAAUAUUAAUAUAUCCAAUAUACCAUUUAAAACAUUAUGCAUAAAUCUUUCAUCAACAAAACCAUGCGUAUGAUUGAAAACAAAGUCCACUCACAAAUAGUCCCAAGCUGCCCGACCCUACGAGGGUCCCGCCUACUGUGUACGAUUGAUCGGAGCACCUAUUUCAAGAUACGAACCCUUAAUUAAUAUAGAAUCACUUCCAGGACUCUGAUUCACGAUCCGCGAAAUCCUACACAAUUCUAGGAGUGCCUUGAUCAACAAAUUUUAAUUUGAAAACGAUCCAACGGUCAGAACCUAUUGAACCCAGAUAACGCACAAUAUGCGAAAUCCGUUCGAUAGUCAAACGACAUACGAAUUGGAAUCCGAGCACACUUACGCACUCGUGACAACGUGAGGAUUACAACAGGUCAAAACGUGACUUCACCACCCUUGCCCACAUGCCGCCACACGCGCCGGCAGCGCGUGGGUAUGUAGAGUAAUUUUUGGUGAUGAAAAAACUCCACACCACCGCUCACCCUUCCUACCCUAGAUACUACUCGAGGCAAGGAUCAUUUCAUUCAACUACAAGGAGGUCCAAUUUGGACGGCAACCGGCUGGAAUUUCACUUUGAAAUCCGGCCAAAACCUAGAUUCCAAAAUCGGUUUCCCAAACUCAAAAUCGAUCCAAUGCUAUGCAUGUAACACCCCGACUCCAAAUUAAACCCCUUAUUUAAAUUAUUUAAUAAUUUAAGGGGAAUUACAAAUUUACCCUUGAGAUAAGGGCAUUUUGGUCAUAUUCUUAACUGAAGAGAGUUUGAGGCAUUGAAUAGUAUUUUUGGAUAGGUCGUACUGAGACGAGUUCAUAGACACAUAGUGGGCUCGAAUCGGAGUUGUAACGAGAGAGAUAUGGUCAAAAAAAAUCCAGUGGCAAAAUCGUAAUUAUUUCAAAAUGGAAUUUUUUAUAAAAAUUAGAUUUCUCUCUCUCUCUCUCUCUCUCUCUCUCUCUCUCUCUCUCUCUCUCCCGCGAGCUCUUUCUCUCUCUCCCGUCGGUCUCUCUCUCUCUCUCCUCGUAACUCCGGCCACCGGUCACGGCUGUGGACGGGGCCGGUACCAAAAUGACGUGGGCUUCGUCCUCUUCCAGCCCCAGCCGACUCCCGCCUCCAGCCUCCGUGAUUUCGCUGGAAAACGGAGAGGAAGCGGACGGUGUCGUCCGAUCUUCGCCGCCGUCGAUCUCCCUCCUCCGGCCACCGAUUCCGACGAGCAAGGUAUGGUUUCUCACCUACUUUUCAUGCUCUACCUGCCUGUUGGGUAGGAUUGGAUCGAUUCUUAGCGUUGUCAAUUCGAUUUUCGAAUUGAAAUUCGGCCGGUUAAUCGCGAUUCCGGCCACUUCCGAUCAGUUUUUGGGGUAGGUCCAAGAACAAAAGUGGCUCCAAAUAGGGUGUUAUACCUAGGGUAGGAGUUUGGAGCCGUGGUGUUGAGAUUUUCCGGCGAAGCUUUAUCGCUUUGGGCACCCACGCGCUGCCGGCGCGUGGGCAGUGUAGAAAAAGUGGCACUAUGUCUCGAUGAGAUCCUUAGGUUGUCACGAGUGCGUAGAAUUUUGCGGAUCUCAAUUCGGACGUCGUUUGACUAUCGAACGGACGAUCGCAUAUUGUGCGUUAUCAGGGUUCGAUAGGGUGGGACCGUUGGAUGGUCCCAAAUUUAAUAUAUGUUAAUCUAGGUAUUUCUAGGAUCGUGUAGGAAUUCACGGAUUGUGAAUCGGAGCCCCGGAUGUUCCGAAUAAAUAAUUUAAAGUUUAUAUUUUAUAUUAACUGUCAAAUCGUGCGAUCGUGAGCGAUCCGACCGUCCGAUCUGAACCAGACUUGCAGGACGAGUGUCAUAUACCUUAUGAAACCCAUAGGAACUUUCGGAUUGGAAUUUGGAGGUCGUGGGCCCCGCAUGUCCUUUUGACCAGGGUUAGGGUAGUUUGACCCUUAGUUGACCGUGAGUCUCCCGGAGUAAUCUCACCUUUCCAGGGGGAUUAUCGUGUGCUAGAUUAUUGUGGAGGGUUACACAAUAUUAGAAUUAAUAUAGAUAUUUAUAUAUGUUUGUACAAGGGUACAAAAGAGUCUAGAAUGUUAGUUUGAAGUGCUAUACGCACUACCUUAGGUACUUCCCCGGAUUUUGGUUACACUACAAGUACCACCAAGUGAAAGUUAGGUCCCACGUGGCGUAGGUUAUCUGGCGUGCAGACAGGCCCCAUACGUGGCGUUGGUUAUACCGACGUAUGGGGAGAUUUGUGAUAUGAUGUUCAGGUCUCACGUGGCGUAGGUUAUCCGGCGUUGAGACAGGCCCCAUACGUGGCGUUGGUUGUACCGGCGUAUGGGGAGAUAUAUGAUAUUAUGUUAAGGUCGCACGUGGCGUAGGUUAUCCGGCGUGUCGACAGACCCCAUACGUGACGUUGGUUGUACCGGCGUAUGGGGAGAUAUGUGAUAUGAUGUGCAGGUCUCGUGUGGCGUAGGUUAUCCGGCGUUGAGACAUACCCCAUACGUGGCGUUGGUUGUACCGGCGUAUGGGGAGAUAUUAUGAUAGUAUGGCAUGGUCGCACGUGGCGUAGGUUAUCCGGCGUGUUGACAGGCCCCAUACGUGGCGUUGGUUGUACCAGCGUAUGGGGAGAUUAUGUGAAAUACAGAGAAAUGAAAUAAGGUAUCGUCUAUGUGUGGAAUUGGGUUUUAUUGGAAGAACUACGUGUGGCUUGAUCCCUCAAGGAGGGUAUGUAGGCAGCCUAAGGUUAUUAGGUGCAGCCGCAAAUUAAAUGUUAGUUAUAAUUUAUAUUUGAAUUGUUUGCCUUGUUUAAGGCAUGAAUUGUUUUGUUAGCGGGUUUGGUAGUAGUUGAGAAUUAUUAGAAGGCCGAAGGCCGUUUGUGUGAAUUGCAUGAAAUUAUAUUGUGCAUGCUGCCAGUUAUGGAUAUUAAAUGUGUUUUUAUGCAGGUUAAAAUUUUGGAAAAUGUCCAAUUUAUAGAGGAGACUGCCAAAAUUUCGGCAGGAAGUCUCGUUCUUUAGUAAGUGGGCCUGGCGUCGGGAUAAUGUCGGAAAUUCCAAAGGGUCGCCUCGGGUUUUGAAAAAUUCGGGGCGGGUCCUUUCAAUGCAACAGACAGCUAGAACAAGUAAAAAGAGGAAGAACCCUCACCUGUUUCACCGGGUUUAGGUGGCUGCGCAACGACGGAGGAAACCCGGUUCAAACCAGUCAAUACUGUAGCCGGAAUUCGAGGUUUUCGAUUCAGAAAAUUGGUGGUUCGGGUUCGGGGCUUCGAGAGGAGUCAAUCGGGAUCGGUGCACGUCCCGCCGUGGACGGUGCUGCGAGAAUCAGAGAGAGAGAGAGAGAGAGAGAGACGAUUUCGGGGAGAGAGAAAGGAGAGAGAGAGAGUUGUGUGCUAGAGGAGAGAGAAGGAGGGUGAAAAAUCUAAUUUUUACCAAACUCUUUUUGAAAUAAUCACAAGUUUGCCACUGAAAGUAUUUUGAUCACCAAAUCUUUAUUACAACUCCGAUUCAAGCCUACCAUGUCUGCGGACUCUUCUCAGUACGACCUAUGUAACCAUGCCACUCGUUGUCCCUAAAUCCUUCCAGAUAAGAAAAGGACCAAAAUAACCCCUACUUUAAGGGGUAGAUUCGUAAUUUCACUUAAAUAAAUUAAAUAAGGGAUUAAAUUUGGAGUCGGGGUGUUACACUAAUCUAAAUCAAAUGUGGUGCUCAAUAGCCACAUGCCAAUCCGCCUCCAGUUAGGGCUCGUCAAUGGGCCGGGCCGGGCUAGCCUGACCCAAAUUUAAUGGGCUUGGACCGAGUGAGUUGUGCUUUAAAGAAGAGAGACAAAAUACCGGGUUAGGUCGGGUCGGGCUGGGUUUUUUUAAGAAAAUUCAAAGUCGAAGCCCGACCCAUAGACCGGGCUUGGGAAAACCCAUCGGGCCAGGCCUAGCUAAGCCCAACAGGCCAGGCCAAAACGGGCUUACUUCUUUCAAAAAAAAAUUAUAAACUUAAUCUUAAGGGCAUUUUAGUCCAAAUUUGAGAUUAAACUUACUUAAUUCCAACAUUUUCACAUCAAACCAAAUUCAUAGAACACCCAAUAAAGUCACACAACUUAAUAAGAUUUUCCACAAAAGUAAUAAAACUAAGUAUUAUUUUUGAGGUUAUUACAUAAUUAGACCGUAAUAAGUUUUAAGAAAUAAUUUUAAAAAAUAAUGAGUAUCAAAAAAAUAUUUUUUUAAAAGGAUGGUAUGAAUAAAUAUGCAAAUAUUUUGGUGAUGUGUUCAAGAAAAGCAUGAUUAUAUUUGGUGGUACUAUUAUGUUUCGUGAUAUGAUUAUAUUUAGUGAUAUGAUAUGUUGUUCAUCUUAUUUUUAUAUAUAUAAUUGUUGUAUUAAUAAUUGACAUAAAUUAAUGUGCUAAUCAUCCAAUUAUAAACUAGGAAUGAGUAAAGAAAAGUAAAUGAAAUGAAACAAAUUAUAUAUGUGAUUUAAGUAAUAUAAUCCUAAUCCUAAACUCUUAUUAUACAUAAUUAUAUAUGUAUGCAGGCUUAACGGGCCGGGCUUCAGACACCCAAGCCCAAGCCCAGCCCAGCCCAAGGCGGGCCGGGCCAUCUCAAAACCCAUAACGGGCCGGGCCGAGUUUUUUUUCAAUGGGUCGGGCGGGCUCCCAUUGGCCCAUGAGCUCGCGGGCCAAAUUACAACCAAAGGAGAUUAACUCUCUCACUUAUCCUAGGAGUUAUAGAGUUUAACUCUCACAGCCCAAAUCUCAAUUACACCAAGUCACUCUCAAGCUAACCACACACAAGAGUCAAGAACACAGGAUUGUUCUUGCUCACUAAGAAAGAAUACACUAAGAACAAUACAAAGAAAUAAACCUUCCACAAACACAAGGAACAAAUGAAGAAGACUCAACCUUUGAAAUGGCUUGAUCUUCCCUCAACAUCUUGUGUAGCCAAAGAGGAGUUUAUCUCCACCUUCAUAGUGAUGCUCUCUAGUAUUUCUCUCUGUGUGAAGAAGCACUUCUGUUUUAGCCUAUCUGAGCAAUGGUGCUCACGGCAUGCACCUCCAAAUGGUGAGACAUGUUGCCCCCCUUUCUAUCUGCCAAGUCUUCUUUAUAUAACCAAAGAAUUUGGUCCAACAGCUGCUUGCAUGAAGAAACCAUGCAAGUUGUCCUGAGCACUUUCAAAGUCCUCCACAAGACAAGAAAUGCACCGAAAGAGCACAACAACCAGCAUUGGAAAAGAAACCAGCUGCUCCUCUUUCUCAUGUCUUUGGUGCAGUGCGGCACACCUGCACACUCAUCUCCUUCUACCAACGAACCCAAGUUGGCUUCUCAAAGAACCCAAGAGUCAAAAAGUAGUAGCAAUAAUACAAUGACUAUUCUACCUCUCUCUCUUGUUCUCACGGGUACAAACAACAAUGUGGCCAAUAUAAUAUUGAAGGCUAAUAAACAAAGAAAGAAAGAUUUCUUUCUCAUAAUGGCAGUCACCGACAAAGGAAAUGCCCAAAGCUGUCACAAAAGAUGGUGUACAUCUCUCAAGUGCUGGCACCUACUCCAUCUCUGUCUCCAGCCUUUUAACAAAGGGAUUUGCCAUCACUAUGUUUUCAUAAUUGUGAAAUAUCUGGGGAGAUUGUACCAAAGCAACCUUAAAUGCAAAAGAAACUAGUUUAAUCAAAGUAAAAAUUAAAUCUUCAAAUUAGACCACACGAACCAAUCUAUUGUUUAUUCUGUUACACGAACCAAUCUAGUUGUUCUUGACAUUCUAUUUUUCCCUCCAAUGGAAACACAGGGAUGCUUUGUUCCCUGAAAAAGUUACCAGGAUCAACUAAGGUCUUAACAUGAACAAGUCCCCUAAAGUUAUUCUUGAAAUACUUCAAACCCCAAAUGCUUGCUUCUGCAUAGCUUGUAUCAGCAUCCUUGUUCCUGAAAGGAAUAGAACGUAUGGGGUAAAGCCUCAAUCUUCAUGAGGGCAUAUUGUAUUGAUUUAUACAGUAUUACAGAUAGAGUCCUAUAUCAAAUAUGAUAAGGAUACAAUGUUAUCAGAUAACCAAGAAGAUAAACGUAAAUACAAGAUAAGAGUCCUAAGGACAAUAGUCAUCUAAUACACCCCCGCAAGCUGACAGGGGAGGAACGCACUGGAAGCUUGGAGGUCAGCAGCUGGAAACGUGGAAUAGACAACCCCUUCGUAAAAAUGUCGGCAAUUUGGUCAUGAGUAGCAAGAUAACGAACGUCAAGCUCCUGCCGCACAACUUUUUCACGAACAUAAUGAUAAUCAACUUCAACAUGACGAGUACGGGCAUGGAAGACAGGAUUGGAGGCCAAGGAGAUGGCACUAAUGUUGUCACACCAAAGUUUAGGACAUGAAAGAGAAAGCUGCAGAUCACGAAAUAGUGCACGGAACCAAGAAAUUGCAGCAGCAGUAUAAGCAAGUUGGCGGUACUCGGCUUCGGUGCUGGAGCGAGAGACACCUCCUUGCUUCUUAGAACUCCAGGAAAUUAAAUUAGACCCAAGAUACAAGCAGUAGCCACCCGUAGAGCGACGAUCAUCGGGAUCACCGGCAUAGUCCGCAUCAGAAUAAGCCAUUAAAGACAGGGAACCAGGUUUAUAGAACAAGCCAUGAGUGGAAGUACCAUUAAGAUAGCGAAGAAUACGUUUGACAGCAACCCAAUGAGUAGAGGUAGGUUGGUGCAUAAACUGGCAGACAUGGUUCACAGCAAAGGCAAUAUCAGGGCGUGUGAGAGUGAGAUAUUGCAACGCACCAACGACACUGCGAUACUCAGAAGGGUCAUCCAAUGGAGCACCAUCAUGGAGGCUAAGACGACGUCCACUGGCAACAGGCGAUGAAAUAUGUUUGGCGUCCUGCAUCUUUGUGCGUGUCAACAAGUCCUUUAUAUACUUGGAUUGAGUGAGAGAAAGCCCGUUAGGAGUGCGAAGAAUUUCCAUGCCCAGAAAAUAAUGAACAGGCCCAAGGUCCUUCAUGGAGAAGAGACGGCUCAAGUCUUGAAUGAGUUUGGAGAUGUGGGCUGGGUCAUUGCCUGUAAUUAAAAUGUCAUCAACAUAAAUUAAUAAAUAAACUCGAAUGGACCCAUGAAGAUAGAUGAAUAAAGAAGAGUCGGCUGUGGAAGCAAUGAAUCCCAAAUCUUCCAAAUGAGUGGAGAAACAUUUAAACCAGGCCCGAGGGGCUUGUUUGAGCCCAUACAGAGAACGCUUAAGACGACAAACAUGGUCAGGAAAUUGGGGGUCAAUGAACCCAGUGGGCUGACGCAUAUAAACCUCAUCAUCUAGAUAGCCGUGGAGAAAAGCAUUCUGAACGUCCAACUGACGAACGGGCCAUUGAAAUUGAACAGAGAGGGCUAAGAUAAGACGGAUGGUGGAAUGAUUCACAACUGGGCUAAAUGUCUCGCCAUAAUCCAACCCUUCUUGCUGAUGAAAACCAUUAGCCACUAAGCGGGCCUUGUAACGUUGAACCGAGCCAUCAGAAUUGUGUUUGAUACGAAACACCCAUUUAUUCGGCAAGACAUUCAAGGUGGGCAUUGGAGGAACCAGGACCCAAGUACCGGCUCGUUGAAGAGCAUUAAAUUCCUCGCCCAUAGCAGCCCGCCAUUCCUGAAAUUUAUUAGCCUGGCUGAAACAAGUGGGCUCAACAAGAUCAUUAGAAGAGGCCAAGAAAGCAUGAUUUGCAUAUUUAGGAUUGGGCUUAUGAACACCAGUUUUAGCACGAGUCACCAUAGAAUGAGUAGUAGAAGGUCUUACCCGAGAAGUAGCCGAAGGUGAUGAGUGUCUUGAGGAACUUGGUAAAACAGGUUCAGGGUCAGGAGAGGGAAAAGUGAGGAUGGUUCUAUGUGGGGUGCGACGGUAAACUUGGAGAGAACUAGGUGGGGAGUGUUGGAGUAUUUGGGAGGCAACGGCUGUGGGACUAGAUGUGGUAUUGGGCAAGAGAGAAGAUAAGUGUGGGCUGGAGGAUAUGUGAGGUGGCGUGACAAUUUGGUGGCUAUGGGGCUGUGAGGCAGCCAGCUGGUUGGGAAAAGACCCAAAAAUUUGUAAAGGUGGUGCAGAAUCCGCAGAAGAGGAAGAAGAAAUUGGGGCAUGAGGGCCCUUGGUCUCUUGAAAGGGAAAGCAAUGUUCAUCAAAAAUAACAUGACGGGAUAAACGUAAAUACAAGAUAAGAGUCCUAAGGACAAUAGUCAUCUAAUAGUUCCUUCCCAAGUCCAGAUCCCUAUAGUUCAAAUAGGCAGCUCUUGGGGACUUUGAAACAUAUGGUGCCAUGGAGGCAUACAGCCUUCUUAACCAACCAAUAUUCUUUUCAGUUUCCUUGUCAUCAUUCCAAAAGACCAAAUACUGGAUUUCAAAUAAAUUUCCUUUUCUAUGUGGGAAAGGAGUUUCUGAAGCAGAAAUCUCACUCAUUCUUCCACCAUAAGGUGUCAGUAUCAACUCGGAUGCCUCCAGUUGAAGCAUUCUUUGCCAUAAAUCUUCCAAGCCAGCUUCUGAAAUUGGUUCUGUCACAUAAUCUGAUGUUGCUUUGAAGAAUCUCUUAGAUGGUUCAGUCCGCUGAAGCAAGACGUCUACUUCGUUACUUGGGAGGCCUUCAAAGUAUAGAACAGACUCAAUCCAACUCAUUUCCGUGAAUUUGCUCUGGUCUAAACAUAAGUCUGGGAAAUUGUCUUGCAUCCAAGGGAGAAAUUUCUCAAAUGUCUCAAGAAACAAGAAAUCAAAUAUAACUGUAAUAGUUUUUCCAUCAUUUUUACCAGCUCCAUUUGCAACUUGUACAAGUAAACGCAGGAAGUGCUCUUCAGGAAUUCUAUCUGCGACAACUUGCCAUUUAGAUACAAAUUUGGUUGCACCUUGUUCUAUGGUCUUUGAUUCCCUGUAAACUGUUACAGAUGGAGGAACACGAACCAACCUAAGUUUCCAUGUCAGAAUGACUCCAAAGCUUGAGCCUCCCCCUCCUCUAAUAGCCCAAAAGAGGUCUUCUCCCAUGGAUUUUCUGUCAAGAACUCUCCCAUUAACGUCAACAAUCUUAGCAUCAAGGACAUUGUCAGCUGCCAGACCAUACUUCCUGAACAACGUACCAAAUCCACCUCCGCUAAUAUGUCCCCCAACACCAACUGUGUGACAAAUCCCUCCUGGAAAUCCACAGACUUUACUCUUUUGUGCAAUUGCGUAAUAAAACUCUCCGAUAGUAGCACCUGACUCGACCCAAGAACUCUCAUUCUCAAUGUCAAUAUCGAUGGAUCGAAGAUUGAAAAGAUCAAUGAUGAUGAAAGGAGUUUCAGAUACAUAAGAUAGGCCCUCAUAGUCGUGGCCCCCGCUUCAGAUUCUUAUAAGUAUGCCCUCUUUCUUGGAGCAGAUUAUAGCUGCUUGAACAUGAGAGCCAUGAAGAGGAUUUAUGAUAGCUUCUGGUUUUGGUGUUGAAGGGUUUAAGAAUCUGAGAUUCCUUAUGGAAGAUUCCAAGACUGAGGAAUAAGCAGAACUGUUUUUGGUAAUGAUGAUUUUGCUACUUGAGUUGAAAUUCUAUAUGUGGGAGUGGGAGGUAAAACAGUGGAGAAAGCUUUGUGUAGCUGAAUUUGAAGUUGUGGACCAAACUGAGUUGAAAAGGAUGAAAAGUAGAGGAAGUAGUCUCAUGUGCAAGGUCACCAUUUUCAUUUCCUCUGUAUGAAAUGCAUGAGCUCUUAGCUCACUCGAAAGAUUAUUGCAGACAUUAGGUGUGCAUAUUGAAGACAAAGCAAAGGUUCAGUAUGUGUCUCUUACUUCUGUCAUGUUGAUGAUUGGCUCAAAAAAUAGUCAAAAGGCAAAACUGCUUUCGGCUGGCAGACAUCUUGCGGUGCUUUCGGCUAGCAGACAAAUUGGAGACAAAUUAAUGGCUAGCAUUGAUGGCUUACUUUUACCUUUUUUGACUUGUGUGUUUUGCUUUUUCCGUUGGGUGGUUGAAGAGCAAAUGUUUGGCUUAUAAAAGGGAACAUGCAUUUGGGAAAAAUGUAGAGCGGAAAGCACCGAGAGUUGAGUUGAUGAGAGAAGAGAGAAGUUGGGAGAGAGAAAAAUAAUAGUUUGGGCAACUAAGCUUUUGUUGCUAUUGUUGAUUAUUUUUCCCUCUCUAAAUUGUACUCAAUUUGUAUCCCCUUUAUAUUCUUGAGUGUGUGAGCUUGGGUAUAUUUGGGGCUUGGGUUUUCUGAGUGGUUAAACACUAUUGUAUUUUCUCAUUGAUUAUAGUGGAAUACUCCGUCGUCUCCAAACUGGAUGUAGGCAAUUGCCGAACCAGUAUAAAUCUUGGUGUUGUUCUUGUUGAUUAUUUUUGUUCUAUUUUUCUCCUGUCUGUUGUUAUUUAUUUUUCACUCGCAGUUGGUUGACGCUUCCGCACAACAAGUGGUAUCAGAGCUCCAGUUUUUCGACUGGGGUUUCGUGGGAGUGAAAAAUCUGUCGGUGCUACAGUGACGGGUGAAUAGUGCACGUGAAUAGUGUCGGUGCUACAGUGCCCCCCGUGAAUAGUGCUGUGCUACAGUAGCAGUGAAUAGUGCCGGGCAGAUUUGAUGGCUGGAGAAAAAGUUGAAAUUUUGAAGGAAAAGGAAUCGACAUCGUCUUCGUCGGCACCUACAUCCAAUAGACAUCCAAUUGCCAGUACAAGGUUAGAGGUUGAUAAAUUUAAUGGCUCCAAUAAUUUUGGUAUGUGGCAAUGUGAAGUUAUGGAUGUGUUGUAUCAACAAGAGUUGGAUAUGGUUCUGGAGGAUAAACCAGAAGAUAUUGAUGACAAGCAGUGGACUCGAAUUAAUCUCCAUGCUUGUGCCACUAUUCGAUCGUUCCUUGAUAAGGAGUUGAAAUACCCGUAUAUGAAGGAAACUUCUGCUAAGAAGUUAUGGAUGAAAUUGGAGGAGAAGUAUAUGACCAAGAGCGCAGAAAAUCGGCUCUUCUUGAAGAAACGACUCUUCCGAUUUCAAUAUCGCUCAGGUAUUUCUAUGCAUGAACACCUCAAUGAUUAUAAUAAAAUACUUGCUGAUUUAGCAAAUCUUGAUGUGAUAAUUCCUGACGAGGAUAAGGCACUAUGUUUGUUAAAUUCAUUGCCUGAUGAUUAUGAUCAUUUGACAACUACUUUGUUGUAUGGAAAAUCCGAGGUGAAACUGGAUGAGGUGUCUGCGGCAUUGGUGAAUCAUGAGUGUCGAAAGAAGGAACAGAAGACUCAAAAUUCACAAACCGAGGCACUUGUUGCAAGGGGUCGAACAGAGGAAAGAAAAUCUGGGAAGCGGGGAAAAUCUCGUUCAAAGUCACGAGGGAAGUUUCCUGCUAAAGAUGAAUGUGCCUUUUGUCUCCAAAAGGGUCAUUGGAAGAAAGACUGCCCCAAAUUGAAGAACAAAGAGAAGGAGAAAGCCGGUUCUGAAGCAAAUGUUGCAAAAUCUGGAGAUGUUGAUUUCGAGUUUGCUUUGGCUAGUUCAUCUGCUGAUGGUCACUCAACUGAGUGGAUUUUGGAUUCAGGUUGCACCUAUCAUAUGUGUCCCAUUCGGGAAUGGUUUUCUAGCUUCGAGGAGCUGGAUGAUGAAGUUGUUUUGAUGGGCAAUAAUAAUGCCUGCAAAACACAAGGGAUAGGCAAAAUCUGUUUGAAGAUGCAUGAUGGAACAGUCAGAGAAUUGAGUGAUGUUCGGUAUGUACCGGAUAUGAAGAAGAAUCUCAUCUCAUUGGGCGCUUUGGAAUCCAAGGGUCUCAAGAUCACCAUGGAGGGUGGAGUUCUUAAAGCUGUGUACGGGGCACUGGUGGUGAUGAAAGGUAUAAGACGAAAUAACUUGUAUUUCUUGCAGGGUAGUACAGUUAUUGGUGGAGCAGCUGUCACCGAAGCUGCUGACGCAGAUAGCACAGACACCACAAGGUUAUGGCAUAUGCGUCUUGGGCAUGCUGGUGAAAAAGCGUUGCAAGGAUUGGUGAAGCAAGGCUUAUUGAAAGGUGCGAAGGCAUGCAAAUUGGAAUUCUGUGAAUAUUGUGUGCUGGGUAAGCAAACUAGAGUGAAAUUUGGCACUGCUAUUCACCACACUAAGGGCAUUCUAGAUUAUGUUCACACUGAUGUUUGGGGACCUUCCAAGAAUGCAUCUUGGGGAGGUAGCCAUUAUUUUGUCUCCUUUGUUGAUGACUUCUCUAGAAGAAUAUGGGUGUACACCAUGAAGCAUAAAGAUGAAGUCUUGAAGAUAUUCCUGAAGUGGAAAAAGAUGAUUGAAACGCAAAGCGGUCGAAAGAUCAAGACUCUCAGAUCAGACAAUGGUGGUGAAUAUAAGUCUGAUCCUUUCUUGAAAGUUUGUCAAGAUGAGGGUAUUGUGAGGCACUUCACGGUUAGGGAGACACCGCAACAGAAUGGGGUGGCAGAGUGCAUGAACCGUACUUUGCUUGAGAAAGUUCGGUGUAUGUUGUCUAAUGCUGGUUUAGGCAAGGCGUUUUGGGCUGAGGCGAUUACUUAUGCAAGCCAUCUCAUUAAUCGGUUGCCUGCUGCUGCGAAUGAGGGCAAAACGCCCAUGGAGGUAUGGUCUGGUAAACCUUGUACUGAUUACAAGUAUUUACUCAUAUUUGGUUGUCCUGCUUACUAUCAUGUCAGGGAAAGCAAGUUAGAUCCAAGAGCAAAGAAAGCUCUAUUUAUGGGAUUUAGCACUGGCGUGAAGGGAUACCGACUUUGGUGUCCAUAUGAGAAGAAAUUUGUUGUAAGCAGAGAUGUGACUUUUGAUGAGGCUGCUAUGGUAAAUCAGAACAAGCAUGAAGGUGAAAUUGAAGCGACUAAGACCAUGAGUAGUUCAAAGCAGGUGGAGUUACUGAAGACUCCAGUUGUUCCAGUAAGGUCUGAUACUACAGACACUAGUCCUACAGUUGAUUCUGAUGAAGAGGACGAGGAUGAUGAAGAGGAGGCACCUACCCAAGAGCCUCCACAGCAACAAGAUUCUAUUGCAAUCAGAAGAUCGAGAAGGGAGAUUCGAAAGCCUGUUCGAUUUACUGAUAUUGUGGCAUAUGCACUUCCCGUUAUUGAAGAUGAUAUUCCAUCCGCCUACAAAGAAGCUGUCAGAAGUUCAGAGAGCGUGGAGUGGAAGAAAUCUAUGGAUGAAGAGAUGAAGUCUCUUCAUAAAAAUGAGACUUGGGAGCUGGUUCAGUUACCAAAGGGGAAGAAAGCAAUUGGUUGCAAAUGGGUUUAUGCCAAGAAGAUGGAAUCUUUGGGAAAAGACAAUGUGAGAUUCAAAGCCAGACUAGUAGCUAAAGGAUGUUUGCAAAUUGCAAAAAUCAUUGUACGGCUUGAAGCAGUCUCCAAGACAAUGGUAUAAGCGAUUUGAUCGGUUUAUGAUCGGGCAGAAGUACACAAGAAGUCAUUAUGACCAUUGUGUAUACUUUCGCAAGUUACAAGAUGGAACCUUCAUCUAUCUGCUUUUAUAUGUUGAUGAUAUGCUUAUAGCAUGUAAAAGCAAAGUGGAGAUUGAAAGGUUGAAGACUCAACUGAGUAAUGAAUUUGAGAUGAAGGACUUAGGAGAAGCUCGGAAGAUACUGGGUAUGGAAAUUGAAAGAGAUAGAGCGAAGGGCAAGAUUAGUCUGUGUCAAAAGCAGUAUUUGAAGAAGGUACUACAGCGUUUCGGGAUGAAUGAAAAUUCAAAACCGGUUAGUACACCUCUUGCCCCUCAUUUCAAACUUAGUGCUUCUAUGUCUCCUAAAACUGGUGAAGAGAGUCAUUACAUGGCUCAAAUUCCAUAUGCAAGUGCUGUUGGUAGUUUGAUGUAUGCUAUGGUGUGUACGAGGCCUGAUAUUUCACAAGCUGUUAGUAUUGUCAGUAGAUAUAUGCAUAAUCCAGGAAAAGGGCAUUGGCAAGCUGUGAAAUGGAUUCUACGGUAUAUUCUGGGUACUGUGGAUGUUGGUUUAUUGUUUCAGCAUGAUAAAGUUACUGGUCAAUGUGUUGUUGGAUAUGUGGAUUCUGAUUACGCAGGUGAUUUGGACAAGCGUAGGUCCACUACAGGUUUUGUAUUCACUAUUGCUGGAGGUCCAGUGAGUUGGAGGUCGAUUCUGCAAUCUACAGUUGCUCUGUCGACUAUGGAGGCUGAAUACAUGGCGGUAACAGAAGCUAUAAAGGAAACCAUCUGGCUUCAAGGGUUGCUUGAUGACUUGGGGAUUGAACAGGACCAUGUGGAUGUUCAUUGUGACAGUCAGAGUGCUAUUUAUUUAGCAAAGAAUCAAGUUCAUCAUGCACGUACAAAACACAUUGACGUGAGGUUCCAUUUUGUUCGUGAGAUUAUUGACGAGGGAAAUAUUCUUCUUCAGAAGAUUGGGACCGCUGAGAAUCCUGCGGAUAUGUUGACAAAGCCAGUUUCGUUGCUCAAGUUUAAGCAUUGCUUAGACUUAAUUGGCAUUUGUAAAGUUUGUUGAUUGCCCCAUGGGGGAUUGGGAGACGACCAUUGAGAGUGUUGCUUCGAGGUUUUGAGCCAAGGUGGAGAUUGUUGAUGAUUGGCUCAAAAAAUAGUCAAAAGGCAAAACUGCUUUCGGCUGGCAGACAUCUUGCGGUGCUUUCGGCUAGCAGACAAAUUGGAGACAAAUUAAUGGCUAGCAUUGAUGGCUUACUUUUACCUUUUUUGACUUGUGUGUUUUGCUUUUUCCGUUGGGUGGUUGAAGAGCAAAUGUUUGGCUUAUAAAAGGGAACAUGCAUUUGGGAAAAAUGUAGAGCGGAAAGCACCGAGAGUUGAUGAGAGAAGAGAGAAGUUGGGAGAGAGAAAAAUAAUAGUUUGGGCAACUAAGCUUUUGUUGCUAUUGUUGAUUAUUUUUCCCUCUCUAAAUUGUACUCAAUUUGUAUCCCCUUUAUAUUCUUGAGUGUGUGAGCUUGGGUAUAUUUGGGGCUUGGGUUUUCUGAGUGGUUAAACACUAUUGUAUUUUCUCAUUGAUUAUAGUGGAAUACUCCGUCGUCUCCAAACUGGAUGUAGGCAAUUCUCGCAGUUGGUUGACGCUUCCGCACAACAUGUCAGUUAUUAUAGAAGAAACAAGUGGCCUUUUUAAAUACUGAAACAUACGUAAGAGCAUGAAAACAAAACUCUACCGAUUUAGAGUCUUCUCAAAAACUUAUUUUAUAAUUUGAGAUACAAAUGAUUUAAUAAUCGCGAUGUGGAUCAUAUUAUCCACAUCAUCAUAAAAUAAACCCUCUUAAUUGUCGUUUUUUGUCAUUCAUUUCAAUUCAUAUUAAAGAAGUUAUCAUAAAUUUUUUUUUGAAAAAAAAAAACAGUGAAGUUGCAUUAUUGUUUGGACAGCUAGUAAGCAGCAAAUGAAUGCUUAAUUAUGACUUAUAGAUCAUAUGCAUCUCAAUCCUCCAACUCAGGAGUCAUAGUUAAAAGAAAGAUAUCAGAAAGGUACUUCUGAAAUUUGGUUCUAUUUUCUCUGUUCUGAACUUCUGAUAACAGAUAAAUCUCCUGGGAGAUUUUACUGAAGAAGACUUCAUUAAAUAAAGAGUUUGACAAUCAAAGCAGGAAUUAAAAUCUUAAAUCAUUUGAAAUAACAUUAUACUUCUGUUUUGCGAAUGGAUUUCAAUCUUCACAGCAAGAGAAAGGCAACAAACGAGGUUCUAUUAUUCGUUGGUAGGUACAAUGGAAUGAGCAACUGAAGCCGAACCUAUCUAUUUGUUGUUUAUUAUAUUACACAAACACAUCUAGUUGUUGUUGGCAUUCUAUUUUUCCCCAGAUCGUAACACAGGGAUGCUUUGUUCAUUUCUAAAGAAGUUACCAGGAUCAACUAAGGUCUUCACUUGAGCAAGUCUCCUGAAGUUAUUCUUGAAGUAGCUCAAACCCCAAAUGGUUGCUUGUGCAUAGCUUGUGUUAGCAUCCUUGUCCGUCCCCAAGUCAAGAUCCCUGUAGUUCAAAUAGGCAGCUCUUGGGGACUUGGAAACAUAUGCUGCCAUGUAGCCAUACACCAUUCUUGUCCAGCUAAUAUGUUUCUUAGUUUCUUUGUCAUCAUCCCAAGUGACAUAAUACUGGAUUUCAUAUAAGUUUCCUUUUCUAUGUGGGAAAGGAAUUUCUGAUUCGGAAAUCUCACUCAUUCUUCCGCCAAAAGGUGACAGUAUCAACAUGGAUGUGUCUAGCUGAAGCAUUCUCUGAUAUAAACCUUCCAAGCCAGCUUCUGAAAUUGGUUCUGUCACGUAGUCUGAUUUUGCUUUAAAGAAGCUCCUAGAUUGUUGAGUCCGCUGAAGCAGAACUUCUGUUUCAUUUAUUGGAAAGUUAGCCAAAAAUAGAACAGACUCAAUCCAACUCAUUUCAGUGAAUGCGGUCUGGUCUAAAUUUAACUCUGGGAAGUUUUCUUUCAUCCAAGGAAGAAGUUCCUUGUAAGUCUCGAGAAACAAGAAAUUGAAUACAACUUGAAUAGUUUUUCCACCGUUUGUACCAUUUUCAACUUGUAAAACCAAACGCAGGAAAUUCCCUUCAGGAAUCCUAUCUGCUAUUGCUUGCCAUUUAGAAACAAGUUUGGUUGCACCUUGUUCUAUGGUCUUUGAUUCCAUGUAACCUGUUACAGAUGGAGGAACCGGAACCAACCUAAGUUUCCAUGAUAGAAUGACUCCAAAGCUUGAGCCUCCCCCUCCUCUAAUAGCCCAAAAGAGUUCUUCUCCCAUGGAUUUUCUGUCAAGAACUCUGCCAUUAACAUCGACAAUCUUAGCAUCAAGGACAUUGUCAGCUGCCAGACCAUACUUCCUGAACAAGGAACCAAAUCCACCUCCACUAAUAUGUCCCCCCACACCAAUAGUUGGACAAGUCCCUGCUGGAAAGCCAUAGACUUUACUCUUUUGUGCAAUUGCGUAAUACAACUCCCCAAGAGUAGCACCAGACUCUACCCAAGCGAUCUCAUUCUCUAUGUCAAUAUCAAUGGACCGAAGUUCGAAAAGAUCAAUCAUGAUGAAAGGAGUUGUCGAUACAUAAGAUAGGCCCUCGUAGUCAUGCCCCCCGCUUCGGGUUCUUAUUUGUAUGCCCUCUUUCUUGGAACAAAUUACAGCUGCUUGAACAUGAGAGUGUUUAAAAGGAGUAAUGAUAGCUUCUGGUUUUGGUGUUGAAGUGUUCAAGAAUCUGAGAUUCUGUAUGGAAGAUUGCAAAACUGAGGAAUAAGCAGAACUGUGUUUGGUGAGAAUAAUUUUGCUGCUUGAGUUAGAAUGUAUGUGGGAGGAAAAACAUUGAAGAAAGCUUUCAGAAAUUGAGUUUGAUGUUGUGCACCAAACUGAAUUGAGAAGGAUGAAAAGUAGGACUGGAACUAGUUUUACGUAAGAGAUCUCCAUUUCUCUGUGCAUGUGGAAUGGUAUGAGCUCUGAGCUCACUUAUAUAAGUAGUUUUGAGUUGAAAGAAAAAUGCAGCCAUUGGAUAGCCAUAAAUAAUUUUUCAAUAAUUGAAAAGAUAGGAGCAUACGCAAGAGACUGAAAAAAAAAUAAAAAUUGUACAGUAUUUUUAGACUUUUCAAAAACGUUUACAAAAUAAACAAGUUUCUUCAUUAACACUUGGCUAAAUGUUAAAGAUACAAAAAAUUAAAUAAUGUUUGCAAUGUGAAUCAUAUCAUCUAUGAAGUUGUCACCAAUUUGUUUUGUGUGUUGAAAUAAGAAAUACAACUAAUAUUUCCCUAUUUUCUGCAUCCGCACAUAGAAAAUAGCACUGAUAUAAUCUUUGAUGCUCCUACAGUGAUGGAAUAUGGUCUAAGCUUCUGGAGAAGUGUUGUAUACGUUGGUAGAGGAUGCAGACUUAUUUAUUAUUGUUUUCUACAUUGGGCCAAACCCAACUAUUUUAUUAUUUACACUCUCUUCCUGCUCAGAUGGUAAAACAGGGAUGCUUUGUUCAUUUCUAAAGAAGUUACCAGGAUCAACUAAGGUCUUCAUAUGAACAAGUCUCCUAUACUGACCAACAAGGAAACUGAGAAAAAUAUUAGAUGGAUGACAAGGAAACUGAGAAACAUAUUGCUUUGAAGAAGCUCCUAGAUGGCUGAGUCCUCUUCAGCAAAACUUCCAGGGAUUCACUUAUUGGGAAGCCAGCAAAGUGCAUCAAAGACUGGAUCCAACUCAUUUCAGUGCAAUUGCUGUGAUCUAAACUUAAUCCCAGGAGCUUGUCUUGCAUCAAAAGGAGAAGCUUCUCAACCGGUCCUAGAAACAAUGAAUCGAAUGACACUUAAACAAUUUGUACAACUAUUAAGGCCUUGCACAUUCAUGUCUCGUUUCUAGUAAAUAUACAUACAUACCUAGAACAAUUACUAAAGUUUAUACCUAGAACAAAUACUAUCUUAGCAUCAAGGACAUUGUCAGUUGCCAGACCAUACUUCCUGAACAAGGUACCAAAUCCACCUCCUCUAAUAUGUCCCCCCAACACCGUGUGACAAAUCCAUACCGAUUUAGAGUCUUGUCAAAAACUUAUUUUAAAAUUGGAGAUACAAAUGAUUUAAUAAUCAUAAUGGAUCAUAUUAUCCACAUCAUCAUAAAAUAAACUCUCUUAAUUGUAGUUUUUGGUCAUUCAUUUCAAUUUAUGUAAAAGAAGUCCUCAUACAAUUAUACUUUUCGUUGCAUUAUUAUUUGUUUGUUGAAAAAAUGAAGUUGUAUUAUUGUUUGGAUAGCUAGUAAGCACCAAUUUAAUGCUUAAUUAUGACUAUAUGAAAUGCAUAUAGUAAUCUCAAUCCUAAAACUCAGAGUCAAAGGCUGAUGCAUAAAGAAAGAUAUCCUGUUCUGUUCUGAUAACAUAGAAAGAUCUUGGGACUUUGUACCAAAAAAGACUUCAUUACUAAUAGAUAAAUAAAUAGUUUGACAAUCAAAGCAGAAAUUAAAAUCUUUAAAUUAUUUCAAGUAAAAUCAUACUAUAGAUUUGCAAAUGGAUAUAAGUCUUCACAGCAAGAGAAAGGCAACAAACGAUUCUAUUAUUGGUUGGGACAAUGGAAUGAGCAACCAAAGCUGAACCUGUCUAUUUGUUGUUUAUUCUAUUACACAAACCCAUCUACUUGUUGUUGACAUUCUAUUUUUCCCCAUAUGGUAACACAGGGAUGCUUUGUUCAUUCCUAAAGAAGUUACCAGGAUCAACUAAGGUCUUCACUUGUGCAAGUCUCCUAAAGUUAUUCUUGAAGUAGCUCAAACCCCAAAGGCUUGCUUGUUUAUAGCUUGUGUUAGUAUCCUUAUUCAUCCCCAAGUCCAUAUCCCUGUAGUUCAAAUAGGCAGCUCUUGGGGACUUGGAA
rnacentral:lncRNA from 1 species